rnacentral:rRNA from 1 species
CCUACGGGAGGCAGCAGUGGGGAAUAUUGCACAAUGGGGGAAACCCUGAUGCAGCGACGCCGCGUGAGUGAAGAAGUAAUUCGUUAUGUAAAGCUCUAUCGGCAGGGAAGAAAAUGACGGUACCUGAGUAAGAAGCCCCGGCUUACUACGUGCCAGCAGCCGCGGUAAUAUGUAGGGGGCAAGCGUUAUCCGGAUGUACUGGGUGUAAAGGGGGCGUAGACGGCAGUGCAAAUCUGGAGUGAAAGGCGGGGGCUCAAACCCCGGACUGCUCUGGAAACUGUCGGGCUGGAGUGGGAGAGAGGUAAGUGGAAUUCGUAGUGGAGCGGUGAAAUGCGUAGAUAUUAGGAGGAACACCAGUGGCGAAGGCGGCUUACUGGACUGUAACUGACGUUGAGGCUCGAAAGCGUGGGGAGCAAACAGGAUUAGAUACCCCUGUAGUC